rnacentral:rRNA from 1 species
GACGAACGCUGGCGGCGUGCCUAAUACAUGCAAGUUGAGCGAUGAAGAUUGGUGCUUGCACCAAUUUGAAGAGCAGCGAACGGGUGAGUAACGCGUGGGGAAUCUGCCUUUGAGCGGGGGACAACAUUUGGAAACGAAUGCUAAUACCGCAUAACAACUUUAAACAUAAGUUUUAAGUUUGAAAGAUGCAAUUGCAUCAUUCAAAGAUGAUCCCGCGUUGUAUUAGCUAGUUGGUGAGGUAAAGGCUCACCAAGGCGAUGAUACAUAGCCGACCUGAGAGGGUGAUCGGCCACAUUGGGACGGAGACACGGCACAAACUCCUACGGGAGGCAGCAGUAGGGAAUCGUCGGCAAUGGACGAAGGUCUGACCGAGCAACGCCGCGUGAGUGAAGAAGGUUUUCGGAUCGUAAAACUCUGUUGGUAGAGAAGAACGUUGGUGAGAGUGGAAAGCUCAUCAAGUGACGGUAACUACCCAGAAAGGGACGGCUAACUACGUG